CAGUAGCCGCGGUAAUACGUAGGGUGCGAGCGUUAAUCGGAAUUACUGGGCGUAAAGCGUGCGCAGGCGGUUUGUUAAGACAGAUGUGAACUCCCCGGGCUUAACCUGGGAACUGCAUUUGUGACUGGCCGGCUAGAGUAUGGCAGAGGGAGGUGGAAUUCCACGUGUAGCAGUGAAAUGCGUAGAUAUGUGGAGGAACACCGAUGGCGAAGGCAGCCUCCUGGGCCAAUACUGACGCUCAUGCACGAAAGCGUGGGGAGCAAACAGGAUUAGAUACCCGUGUAGUCCCUGUCUCUUAUAC
rnacentral:rRNA from 1 species